GAUGAACGCUGGCGGCGUGCUUAACACAUGCAAGUCUAUCGCGAAGUUUUGAUAGGAUUCUUUGGAUGAAAUUUAAAAUGGAAAGCGGCGGACGGGUGAGUCACGCGUAGCCAACCUACCCCACACAAACGGCUAGUAUUUGGAAACGAAUAUUAAUACAUUAUGAUACUUAACUAGUGCAUGCUAGGUAGGACAAAGAUUUAUCGGUAUGGGAUGUGCUUGCGUCUGAUUAGCUAGAUGGUGGGGUAACUGCUCACCAGGGCGACGAUCAGUAGCCGACCUGAGAGGGUGAACGGCCACAUGGGAACAGAGACGCGGCCCAAACUCCUGCGAGGGGGAGGAGUGGAGAAUAUUGCACAAUGGGGAAAACCCUGAUGGAGCAACGCUGCGUGAGCGAUGAAGGCCUUUGGGUCGAAAAGUUCUGUUCUAGGUGAUGAAAACUGACAGUAACCUAAGAGAAAGCCCCGGCUAACUCCGUG
rnacentral:rRNA from 1 species